CACCCACACUGCACUGAUCCAAGUUGUUUUUUCUUUUUUUUAUGUUUAUCAUGUAUAAUGUGGGUAAGAUUUAAAAAAAGAAAAAAGGUUUGUUAAAUAAGGCAAAUUGGGCUUUCUGUAACCUAAGGUUAAGUUGAAGAAUGUGUGUAAAGCGCACACAAGUUAUAUGUUUGCAAAAUGGUGGCACAGCCAAAAGUAAACUGUUCAGAUGUCUUGGUUUCUCAUAGUUGUUUUUGUUGAAAUAGUUACAAUAACACAGACAGGUCCAGGAAGUAGUUGUGGGUAUACUUAAGGGGCCAACACCUAAUGAGCACAUUGGAAAUACAGUGUUUGCAUUUUGUCUCUGGCAGCAGUGACACACACACACACCAAACCUGCAGAUGAUAUACAUGGCAAUACAAGGCUGAUCUGUAAAUUCAUCACCUGAGAAAUGCUUAUCAAUAUGUGUGAUCACAUGGGAAAUGUGUUUAAUUUAAUAUGUAUCAAUAAAGUUAUUUUGAUUGGACAUGAGUAAUGUACAGUGUUCGAAAUAUUUUUUUAAGUAGAAAAAAAUAUUUUUUUUAUGUUUUUUCCUAGUAUUUUUGAGAAUUUACGCAAAGACAAAUGAAACAAAAUGUUUUAAAAACGUUUUUUUUUCCUCUAAAAUAAGGCGAUAUGGUUUCCCCUUUGGUUGCGCUCGGCUCCUAGUACCGUAGUUGGUUUGUGCGCAUAAGCGCGUGGUCACAAGAUACAGGCUUUCCGCCAGUAGCAAUUUUGAUUGGCUGGCCGAAGCUUUCUCCGUUUCAAAUCGUUUUCACCCGGAAGCUAUGGACAUUUAGCUAACACGAAGCUGCUGUAAACACUUAAAAAAAAACAGGCGCAGGUUUGUCCGGCAGACGAUAAACAUGAAAGGAAAAGUUAAGCGAAAGGUGGUGUCGUCGGGGAGGCUAACUGGAGCAGUUGAAGCUAAUCGUGUAACUUUAGGUGCAGCAGCAGCCAGCACUGAACCGGCCUAUUCUCUGUACUCCACAGACUCCGAGGAUCAGGUAAUGAAGUCACCACGCUCCAUAAAGGUCUGGACAGAUGUGCUGUGCUGCUCAGUGGCAUCCUCCAGGCAGAAAAAGCAGGUUGUUAUGACAGCAGAGCAGCCUCUGUACAAACAGGAGGUGAAAAGUUAAGGUUUUAAAAUAUUAAUAUACGGUAUGUUUUUGCUAG
ensembl:lncRNA coiled-coil domain containing 14